AUUGAACGCUGGCGGCAGGCCUAACACAUGCAAGUCGAACGGUAACAGGAAACAGCUUGCUGUUUCGCUGACGAGUGGCGGCCGGGUGAGUAAUGUCUGGGAAACUGCCUGAUGGAGGGGGAUAACUACUGGAAACGGUAGCUAAUACCGCAUAACGUCGCAAGACCAAAGAGGGGGACCUUCGUGCCUCUUGCCAUCGGAUGUGCCCAGAUGGGAUUAGCUAGUAGGUGGGGUAACGGCUCACCUAGGCGACGAUCCCUAGCUGGUCUGAGAGGAUGACCAGCCACACUGGAACUGAGACACGGUCCAGACUCCUACGGGAGGCAGCAGUGGGGAAUAUUGCACAAUGGGCGCAAGCAUGAUGCAGCCAUGCCGCGUGUAUGAAGAAGGCCUUCGGGUUGUAAAGUACUUUCAGCGGGGAGGAAGGGAGUAAAGUUAAUACCUUUGCUCAUUGACGUUACCCGCAGAAGAAGCACCGGCUAACUCCGUG
rnacentral:rRNA from 1 species